GUGCCUGUGAUGUAGUGGUAUCAUAUCUGUCUAACACACAGAAAGUCCCAGGAUCGAAACCUGGCAGGCACA